CCUGCUUUAUUUUCAUUAGUUAUUUAAAUCGAAUUAAUUAUAAUUAAUCUUAUAAAUGUAAUUGUAGUUAAAAUUGCGUAAAAGAGCAAUCUCCUCCAUCGUCUGUUUGCAUCCGGCGCCAUCUUGUUUUUUUCUGAUCAAGGCUUCGUGAUGAUAAUAAUAAUAAUAAUAAUAAUAAUAAUAAUAACUGCUUUUAUGCUAAUUUAUUGUAUAAAAUAUGUUAUAAUUUAAUAAAUUUCAGGUUUAUUGAAUAGAUUUUUAUGCCUUUAAAAGUUGCUAUUUUAUAAUAAGAGAGAGUAAUAGUGAUGUGUAGUAUAUACGGGCGCCAUUUUGUUUUCUGAGAAUAAUAACUGCUUUUAUUCUAUUUUCAGGUUAUUUAUGGGGUAAAACACGUUGUAAUUUAAUAAAUUAAAGGUUUCUCGAAUAUAUUUUAUGCUUUAAAAGUUGCUAUUUUAUAAUAACAGGCUCAGGAAGAGAGUUGAACUCUAUAUAACGAAUUGAUGUGAGAAAAGAGACUUAAAAUAAUGCUUCUGCUAUAUACACGAGGUUUACUACGCUUUAUUAAUGGGGUGUGCGGAUCGAUAAUAGAAGAAGAUGUACCCACGAUGAGAGAGAGAGAGAGGAUGUAGGCACACAGAAAGGGAGAGAAAAACAGGAGGAGUAUCAAUCUUAUCAUCCAGGAAAUUGGCUCUAAUGAAACAAGAUAAGAGACAUUACCCGAAAUACUGAAAUAUCAUGAAACAAGAUAAAUUCCAUAACAUCAAGGAACAUCAUAAAUUUAACGUUGACGUAUAAGUUGAGUGAUUUUGACAACUCACGUUUUUAUGAUCAGCGUCUAAACUGUCCCACAUGGACGCGACAAUUUUGGACACUUCACCAAAACUGGCGUUUGGAUUCUGUCCUUUGAUAGCUGCUUGAGUAUCCCGGAAGAAAAGUGCAUAGGCAGACACUGGUCUGUUACAAAGGAAAAAAAUAUAUAUAUAAUACAAUGGAAAUAUGCUUUUUAUCUUGAUGUUACGAGUCUAAUCGUGUUUACAAACAGAAAAUUCAUGUUCCAGUACAACUGUAAGUACUGUACUUUAAUCUUUGCUGCUUAAGAAGUUAUCAGAUUGCUUAUAAAAAUGCCAUUUUUUAAAAAUUAGUUUUAGUGUGGUUAAUCACUAAAAUAUGCAGUUGUAUGCAACAACUGUAUGCCUUUAAUGAUUAGAAACAAACCUAAUACACUAUUUUAAGUUACAGAUGAGAGAAAAUUCAUCUGGGAUCAUGCUCAUGACAAGAAAUUGAGAUUUAAUUACAGAAAAUUCAAGUGUUAUCCCACUUGUACGUACUAAAAUGCAGCAUUUUUAAAGCCUACUAUAGUUAAGAAGAAAAACAUACAAUUCAAUAUAUAAAUCCAAUCAUAUUUAUAGCAAGAGGAUAGUUAAUGUCCAACUAGACUGAAGAGGAUCCAAGUGAAAACAUAAAUCUCUUAUUACUAAACAAAAAUAUAGAAUUUUACGUUUUAUAAUAGUCGAAACGGUAGGAGAAACUCUCCGGAAGAUGGAAAAGCUUUAGGGACGAAAACGUGGCCCAGGCAAGAUGGUAUGUAAUAUGGAAUGACAGUUUAAGUACUGGUUAACACGAAAUCCAGAAGUCAUUGAGGCGAGAAUGCGCUUAAUUCUUAAUUAGAGAAAAGUAUAUAGCGGGAAGAGGGGCAAUAUGUCAAAAUGAUAUAAAGGAAAGAUUGCUACGUGCUUUGAAGGUUUUUCGAAUUUUAAGAAUUAAAGUCACCAUCAAGAAGGAGAAAAAUGAAGAUAGUGAAAAGUAGGUACGACUACAAUUUUCCGUUAAGAAAUGACAAUUCAAAAUGUUCAUGGUGUAUCAAAUUGAUCAAAUUCUCCAGACGGAAGGUUAAACGAGGUGUUGCUUCGAUUCGAGGUAUGUAUUAAAUUCUGGCUGCGUUUGAAUUCGGAAUAUUCACUCUUCGAAAGUCUGUGUGAGAGAUUUUAUUAUAUUUCCUUUUUGUUUUAUUCUUUAUGCCCACCUGUGAACUAAUGGAACACUAGUAGCAACACUGGCGCAUGACCAACAGUUGACCACGUGGUGUUUUUCGAGUUUUCUUCACGUAUCUAACACCUAAAUAGGAUACAGUUUCCUAUUAGAAAGUGCUCUCGGGAGGCACCCUUUUUUUUGGCAGAUCGCCCACGUGUUGGGUUGCAUUUAUUCCAUCAAUUCAUUCGUUCAUUAUUUUAUACUUCCUGUUAAUUGUAUUCGUUUUAAACGCAUUAUUAAUGUUUUUAAUUCUUAAAACCAGUUUAUUAAAUCCAAUUUUUUUUCUGAAUACUCCUUUCAAACGUCUUAAAUUUGACAUAAUUGAAAUUUUGUUUAGUUUGUACACGGCAAAGAGACAUAUGGGCGAUCUGUCUGCAGGGUGGCACCCGAGAUGAGUUUCUAUGAAAAACCAGUCUCAAUUUUGGUGUUACAAACGUGUAGAAAACCCGGAAAACUCCACUUGGCCAUCCCAUUUGCGACUCGCGAACCCACGACCAAGUGUUCGGUAGGUUUAUCCAAAUUCAAUCAUUGGUGGGCUUUAAAAUUAAUUAAAGAUUCUUAUUAUUUUUUUCAUAAUUUCGUUAACACAAUAGCCAUUUGUCAAUACCCUGGAUAUCAUUAUUAGAACUUUAAUUGGGCCAAGUUUUGUAUCUCAUUUUAACGUCAUUGGAAUACGAGUUUUGAAAUUUUCCAUUACAGUAUUUAUUCAGCAGAAUCGAUCACUCGAGGUAGCGAUGUUAUUGUUAAAUUUUACCGUUUUAAUUUUUAAAUGCUAUUUAUUUCGGGAUAAUUGAUUAAUACGCCGUGGCGCGAGGCGUUUUUGCAUCUCAUUAUGCAAAUUUCUCGAAACGUUUUCGAUUUCAUUGGACGGAUUUAUUUACGUCAUCGUAAACGUCAACAAAAUACAAACUUUUCAAACUUGGGCUAUUUAUUUGUCGAAAUUACACACACACACACACACACAGAUAUACGUGUGACAUUUUAAUAAAUACAUCCAAUAAAAAGGCAGGAUACGAAAGGGCACACACAUACACACACAAAAAAAAGAAUGUUUCGAAUUUGAAUUUCAAUUUCAUUGGUUUAAUUGGCCAAUCGUAUGUUGAUAUUUAAAUAUUUAAAUUUUCAAAUCUGGUCAAUUUAAUUGGCCGCCUUAUUCACGUGACGGCUUACGACUCAUUACGUCGCCGACAUCGGCCAAUUAACUUACAAGAAACAUUACACGUCACGCAUUAACAUGUAGUCAUAAUUUGUCAAAACGACGUCGUCUACCAAUUAAACGGCGACAAAUAAAUUCUCUUUUAAUUAAUAUCAAGAAAUUCGUUUAAGGUUUAUUACGUUUGGGAGCAAUAUAGCAGAAAGCUGGGACAGAUCAGUUGAUAGGAAGUAAUCAAUGGUACAAUAUUGUCGCGUGUCGAGCAGUUUAUCGCCGUCACACAGAAAAUAAGUGUUAAUCAGCCCAUCUAGAAAGCGUUAUAUGACAGGCAAAAGGAUCAACAUGGAUUAAUGUUUUGUAGGAAUGUUUAAUAGCCGGACAGUCUCCCGAGAGUAGAGUAUGCAAUCAAAAACUCGCUAAUGGAGGCUUUUCAAAUACAUUAUUCAUAUAUGUCAAGACAUUGUGUUUGAACGGG